rnacentral:rRNA from 1 species
CCUACGGGUGGCAGCAGUAGGGAAUAUUGCUCAAUGGGGGAAACCCUGAAGCAGCAACGCCGCGUGGAGGAUGAAGGUUUUCGGAUUGUAAACUCCUUUUGUUAGAGAAGAUAAUGACGGUAUCUAACGAAUAAGCACCGGCUAACUCCGUGCCAGCAGCCGCGGUAAUACGGAGGGUGCAAGCGUUACUCGGAAUCACUGGGCGUAAAGGGCGCGUAGGCGGGAUAGUAAGUCAGAUGUGAAAUCCUAUGGCUUAACCAUAGAACUGCGUUUGAAACUGUUAUUCUAGAGUAUGGGAGAGGUAGGUGGAAUUCUUGGUGUAGGGGUAAAAUCCGUAGAGAUCAAGAGGAAUACUCAUUGCGAAGGCGACCUGCUAGAACAUAACUGACGCUGAUGCGCGAAAGCGUGGGGAGCAAACAGGAUUAGAUACCCGGGUAGUC